UUUGAGAUAGGGGGUUGUAGUAAAGAUUCUCCUGGGUUCUGUGGUGAUGGUGGCAGUGCAGGUCUCCGAUGCCUCCGUGGGAGAUUUGAAAGGCUCCAGCGUGGGCACGAGGCUCUUAAAUCAUCUUAAAUCCGGGGAGCAUCGGGCUGGAUGGGAGCCCGGCGCUGGCUGCGCCGCGAGGACGGAGCCCUGGACACCAGAACCACUUUGAUCUUUGCUGCUGGCCCGUCAAGAUGAUUCACUUGCCUUGCUCUAAUCUAAAAAGAAAGUUUCCUGGAAUGAAGCAAUUCAUAAUAAUCAAAAUGUUUCAGCUGUGGACAGGAGCUGCGGCUUGUGUGAAAGGAAGUCCUUGAAGGAAUUUUAAUAGGAUUGCAGGGCAGAAGCCAAACUAAGAUGCUUUUAUACAUCUUAUAUAGAGGAAAAAAUGUUUAGAAGGAUGAUUCUUACUAAUUGCUACCUAAUAUUCAUUGAAAUACAGUUUUUUAG